GUGCUUGCACUCGUGGAUCAGUGGCGAACGGGUGAGUAACACGUGAGUAACCUGCCCUCCACUCUGGGAUAAGCGCUGGAAACGGCGUCUAAUACCGGAUAUGACCGACCCUCGCAUGGGGUGUUGGUGGAAAGAUUUAUCGGUGGUGGAUGGACUCGCGGCCUAUCAGCUUGUUGGUGGGGUAAAGGCCUACCAAGGCGACGACGGGUAGCCGGCCUGAGAGGGCGACCGGCCACACUGGGACUGAGACACGGCCCAGACUCCUACGGGAGGCAGCAGUGGGGAAUAUUGCACAAUGGGCGAAAGCCUGAUGCAGCGACGCCGCGUGAGGGAUGACGGCCUUCGGGUUGUAAACCUCUUUCAGCAGGGAAGAAGCUUUUGUGACGGUACCUGCAGAAGAAGCACCGGCUAACUACGUGCCAGCAGCCGCGGUAAUACGUAGGGUGCGAGCGUUGUCCGGAAUUAUUGGGCGUAAAGAGCUUGUAGGCGGUUUGUCGCGUCUGCUGUGAAAAUCUAGGGCUUAACCCUGGACGUGCAGUGGGUACGGGCAGACUAGAGUAUGGUAGGGGAGACUGGAAUUCCUGGUGUAGCGGUGGAAUGCGCAGAUAUCAGGAGGAACACCGAUGGCGAAGGCAGGUCUCUGGGCCAUUACUGACGCUGAGAAGCGAAAGCAUGGGGAGCGAACAGGAUUAGAUACCCUGGUAGUCCAUGCCGUAAACGUUGGGCGCUA
rnacentral:rRNA from 1 species